rnacentral:rRNA from 1 species
UACAGAGACUGCAAGCGUUAUUCGGAUUCACUGGGCGUAAAGGGUGCGCAGGCGGCCAAGUGUGUGAGGCGUGAAAGCCCGGGGCUUAACCCCGGAAUUGCACCUCAAACUACAUGGCUAGAGCAUUGGAGAGGGUAGCAGAAUUCAUGGUGUAGCAGUGAAAUGCGUAGAUAUCUGGAAGAACACCGGAGGCGAAGGCGGCUUGCUGGACCUGGUCUGACGCUGAGGCGCGAAAGCGUGGGGGAGCGAACAGG